rnacentral:tmRNA from 1 species
GGGGGUGAAAGGUCUCGACUCCGGUAGUCGAGUUGGGAGAAGCGAGCCGUGGUCUCCGGAGCCACGUUAAAGAGCCGGAACACAAAACAAACGCCGAGCCUCAGCUCGCGUACGCUGCUUAAUCAGUAGCGUCGUCCGCCCAGCCUCUGCUCCAUGGGCUGGUGAUCGGGCGUCAUCGAAUGGAGCUCGCUCGUAGGCUGUUCCGGCUGGCCUGCGGGGACUCUUCGUCGGAUACGGGACGUCGCCGCCGCCGACAGCAGCGACGUCCUCGACAACCUCUGGUCGGCUGCGCUCGGAGAAGGCCCGAUGAGAAGCCGGAGGACGCGGGUUCGAUUCCCGCCACCUCCACUC